UUGCUUCCAUAUCUUGGCUAUUGUAAAUAAUGCUGCUAUGAACAUUGGGAUUGUCCUAAUUUCUUUUUAUUUGUUUGCUUGUCUGUUUGCUUUUUCUGUUCAGCUCCAGUGUUUCCCACUACUCUGUCUUCUAGCUUGUGGAUCCAUUCCUCUGUACCAUCUAAUCUACUGUUGAUUCUUUCUAGUGUAUUUUUCAUUUCAGUUAUUGUAUUCUUCAUCUCUGUUAGGCUCUUCUUUAUAUUUUCUAACUCUUCGUUAAAACUGUAUAACUUUUUGCUCUGUUCACCCAUAGAACUUUAUCUAAAGUUCUGAACAUCAUUAUGAUCAUUACCUGGUGACUAGGGCCAGGGGUGCUCUAAGGGUGCCCCCUAUUUGGGCUUCUUGAACCCUUCUGUUGUGGUGGGCUGAUUACUAUGGGCCAUCUGGUGGGUGUGGCUGGCCCUGUUCUGGUUGGUUUCCAAGCCCUGCCUUGUGCAGAGGCUGCCAUCUGCUGGUGGGUAGGGCUGGAUUACAAGGUUGCUGGCUAUGGGGCCCUGGGGGAUCCUGGGCUCCAGCUAAUCCACUAGUGAGUGGAGCCAGGUACUAGAGUGGAUGGUUAUGGAUGGAGGUGGGGGAGUGUGUCCUGGAUCUAAUGUUGGCUUGCUGGUAGGUGGAGCCAGUUCCUGACACAGCUGGCUGCUGGGUCUGAGGUGUCCCAAAGCCGGUGUUGGCCCACUGGUGAAUGGGGCUGGAGCCUGGGGCAGCUGGCUAAUGGGUCCAAAGGGUCUUGGAGCUGGUGUCUGCCUGCUGGUGGGUGGGAUUGGGGCCUGGGGGUUUCUGGGGCUGGUGUUGGCCUGCGGGUAGACAGUGCUGGAGCUAGUGCUAGCUCACUGGUGGGCAGAACUGCAUUCCCAGGUCUCCGGCUGCAGGGCCCUAAGGGUCCUAGAGCUGGUGUCCUGCUGGUAGGUGGGGCUGGAUCCUGGACCAGCUGGCUGAGGGUCCCAAGGUGUCCCAGAGCUGAUUUUGGCCUGCUCUUGGGCAGGACCAGGGCCCAAAGGGUCUUGUGACUGGUGCAGGCCUACUGGUGGAUGGGCUGGGUCCUGAUACUGUAGGCUGCAGGGCUGAAGUGGUCCUGGGGCUGGUGUCCACCUCAUGGUGGGCAGGGCCAAGGCCCAGGGUGUCCUGGGGCUAGUGCUGGCUCACUGGUUGGCAGAUCCAGGUCCUGGGGUCUUUAGCUGCAGUGUCCUGGGGGUCCUGGAGUUGGUGUUUUGGCCUGGUGGUGGGUAGGGCUGGUGCCCAUGGGAUCCCGGGACUGGUGUCUACCCACUGGUGGGUGAGCCUGGUCCUGUGGCUAGUGCCAGCCCAUUGGUAGGCAGGGUCAGGGUCUGAGGCCUCUGGUAGACAGAGCCAGGUCCUGGGUUGACUGUGGGCUCAGGGGAUCUUAAGGCGGCAGGCCUCAUGGUGGGUGGGGCUGUCUCUCCACCUGGUUGGUUGCUUGGGCUGAGGCAUCCCAGUACUGAUAACCACGGGCUGGUGGGAGGGGCUGGAUCCCAAGGCCAAUAAGCUAGAGCAAGGACUCCAAAAUGGCACUUGCCAGCAGUGUUCAUGUGGUAGAGCAAACUCCCAAAGAUGGUUGCUGCCAGUGUCUAUGUCCCCAGGGUGAGCUGCAGUUGCCUCCUACCUCUCCAGGAGACUCCAAGAUCAGAUGGUGAGACUGAUGCUCCUUUCAAAUUACUGCUUAUACUCUGGGUCCUGGAGGAUGUGAGAGUUUGUGUGCACCUUUAUCAGUGGUGUCUCUAUUUCCCACAGUCCUCUGGCUCUCCCAAAAGUAAGCCCUGCUGGCCUUUAAAGUCAGACGUUCUAGGGGCUCAUCCUCUUGGUGCAGGACUCCCCGGGCUGGGGAGCCCAAUGUGGGGCUGACCACUCGCUCCUUGGUGGGUGACACACCCGUGGUAUGGAUUUUGACUAUACUACGUCACCACCCCUCUUACCCUGCUCAUUGUGGUUCCUUCUUUAUAUCUUCGGUUGAAGAUCUUUUCUGCUAGUUCCAGUUUUUCUCAUCAGUAGUUUCCCUGUUGUAAUUUUGGUGUGCCCAUGGGAGGAGGUGUGCUCAGGGUUUUCCCUUUUCUGCCAUCUUGGCCACAUUUCUCCCCCAUUAUAAUUAGUUUUGUUAAAAUAAAAAUUAUAUUUGAAUAUCACCUAUUUGGAUAAUCAAAGGCAGUAGUCUGAAUAUGCUGCUUUUUCUUUGGAAGGGCCAUGCCUGCCCACUUUGGAAGUACACAUAUAUGGGCAGUUGGGAGCCUCUAAGGCAUCGAAUAAGACCAACAUGAGAGAAUGAUGUUACAAUUUAGUAGGGCCACGAAAUGCUGUUGUCUCCCUAUCCUGUUCACUUGUGUUACCAUAUGGCAGCCUGGCUUAAGUGGUUUCUCAACACGUGAUAGUUCUGAACAGUCUGGAAGGGAUGUAGCUAGUGCAUGGAUGGGACUAGAGUUAGCUACCCUGUCACUUGUCAGCAUGAAAAACCCUAUCGUAAUUGCCUGUAACUUCUCUGUGUCAUCUAUGAAACUAAAUUCCAUGAAGCCAAGACCAUCUUCUUGAUUGUGAUACACAUACAGGUGCUCAAUAAGAGUUUAUUGAAUGAAUCGAAGCACUGGGACUUGAGUCUUGAAGCUGGCUUUAAAAGCAGGAGAUUGUGGGUCCCAAAGCUAAACCAGGGUUAGUUGUUGGCAUAAUUUAGAUUUCUAAUUUUAAUAAAUGUUUUAAAGGUACUGAUUAGUGUUUAGGUCUGUAGGCUGAUGACAAUAACUGCAAGUAGUCAUUCAUUGUAUUGUGAAAAGUUGGUAGUUGCAUUUUCUGGUUAUGUGGAUUCUGAAUUGGGUUUUGAUUUAGUAUUUAUAAAAAAUUAUUUCUUAAUAAUUAUUUCUUUUAAAAGUACCAGUUGUUUAAAAGUUUGUAGCCAUAUUGUCUAUCGUGCAGCCAGCUUUCAAUUAGAUAUGAUAGGGAAUUUUUGACAUUUACAAAUACUGCUUUAAAAAGAUAAUUAUCUGAAAGCACCAGCACAUUUAGAAGGUGCUCAGAAAUGUUUAAUUAUAAUAACAAAUUGUAAAAUGAACUGUUAACAGGAACUAGCAAAAAGCAACAGAAAAUAGAACAAGGGCAUUGUGAAGUGACAAGCAGUUGGGAGACUCCACGUGUGUUUAGUAAUUUACUAGCAGGUGCCUCAUAUAAUGCAUUGUGUGCACAGUAGGCAUUCAGUAAAGGAUGUUGCUUGGCAAGGAAAUCAGCUGUGCAGUUUUCUCUAAUUUACAAGAGGACAAGACAGUUGUAAGAAUCAUCCUGAAAAAAUGUCCAUGCAAUAAAUUACUUAAAUGGCAAAAGAGAAACAUUUUAAGGAAAGAGUGGUCUUUAAAAGUUGAUAUGGUAUCAGACUUGUAAUAGAAUUGGGAAAGCUUUUCUUAAAAACAGAACAGCCCUCUGUAUUUUAAAAAAAUACUUUUUUUUCACCUUUUCUCACAAUCGUUCAUUUUUCUUUUUUAAGAGGCAUGUGAGACCAGGUCUCUGUAGUUAAGCACUUUAACCACCAGGUGGAAGCACCGCAUUGGGAGUUCUCGGAAGGCAACCGUCAGCUCCUAACUACUGGUACCCAAAACUGGCACCAGAGUGUGGCAUCUUACACCGCUGCUACUGAUAAUCAUAGAAUCACAGUCAAGCAGAGACCUUCAUUUUACAGACCCCUUUCCCCAGUGCUGUGUGGAGGUUGGAUUUGAAGAGGAGAAAGCUGGAAGCAAGAGACCAGUAGAGUUGUUGCCGUGGUACAGG